UACGAAGGGGGCUAGCGUUGUUCGGAAUCACUGGGCGUAAAGGGCGCGUAGGCGGCUAUGUAAGUCACCUGUGAAAUUCCGGGGCUCAACUCCGGGGCGGCAGGUGAGACUGCAUAGCUGGAGCUCGGUAGAGGCGAGUGGAAUUCCCGGUGUAGUGGUGAAAUGCGUAGAUAUCGGGAGGAACACCUGUGGCGAAGGCGACCC
rnacentral:rRNA from 1 species